rnacentral:lncRNA from 1 species
UUUUUUUUUUUGUCUUUUUAGGGCUGCAUUCUCAGCAUAUAGAAGUUCCCAGGCUAGGGGCCUAAUCAGAGCUGCAGCUGUUGGCCUAUGCCACAACCAUAUAGCAAUGCCGGAUCCAGGGAUCAAACCCGUGUUCUCAUGGAUACUAGUUGGGUUCAUUACCCUUAAGCCACAGUGGAACUCCCCAGCUUUUGAUAUUUUCAUUAUGAGUUUAUGAGUUUCACUGUUACAUAUACAUUCUGAUUGAUAAUUCAUUGGCUCUGAGAGAAGAUUCUUUUUUUUUUUUUUUUUUUUUUUUUUUUUUCCAUUUCUUGGGCCACUCCCGCGGCAUAUGAAGGUUCCCAGGCUAGGGGGGUUGAAUCGGAGCUGUAGCCACCGGCCUACACCAGAGCUACAGCAACGCGGGAUCCGAGCCGUGUUCUGCAACCUACACCACAGCUCACGGCAACGCCGGAUCCUUAACCCACUGAGCAAGGGCAGGGACCGAACCCGCAACCUCAUGGUUCCUAGUCGGAUUCGUUAACCACUGCGCCACGACGGGAACACCGCGAUGACAUUUUUUAAAGUAGAAGAUACACAAAAAAGAGAGAAAAAUAUUUGCAUUCAGAAAUGUUAAGUCAUGCUUUCUCUCUCUUCACCUCAAGUCCCACCUUACCCACCUCCUUCCCAUCAACCAGCAAACUUGAAAGAUCAGUAAACAAUAUUAGGUAGAAAAGUUCAUAAAUUUAGAAAUAUUUUCACCGUAUCUUUUAUAAUUAUAAAAAAAACACUUGUUCUGCAUCCAAAAUUCAGAAUACAACAAUGAAAUAUAUAUAAAUAAAUAAAACAAUCAGAGUAUUAACAAUGCUUAUCUCUGGUGGUUUAUAUUUAAAUCCAUAGUCACAGUCAUACCUCUAUUUAGUUCAAAUAACAUUGAGCUUACAUUUUAUAUAUUUAUACACCUAUAUAAAUGUAUCUAUCCUUGAAUUUUGCUUUUAAAAAUUAUAUUAGAUGAGGUGCAUUUUAAUCACUGAAUUACAUAAUUUCCCUUUUACGUACCUACCAAGUGGUUUUUGAAGGUCCUUCCGUAAAGUAGACAUUUUGGGACAACCUAUUAAAUGUCUGUGUUAAACCAAGUAUGAGACUAGACUUUGUAUCAACUCACUGUGUUCAGUAAAAUUAAAUUUAGAGUUGUUUCCUUAAAUCAGCAAUGACUCUCACUCACUAUUACUCUCAGGAUGUGUGAGUGAUUCCCAGGCUAUCCCUGACAAUGCUGGACUGUGCCCCUAGGGUGUUGCUGUUUGGUGUGAGGUUCUGAAGUCAGUCUAGUGUAACUGGCCAGUGUUGACUGAGGAGGUUCAAAUCUUAGCUCUACAACAAUAAUAAUUUAGGCAAGGGAUUUCAACUAUCUGAGUCACAGAGCACUGCAUGUAAAGAGCUCAGAGGAGUACCUGGCAAAUAGAAAAGGAUCAAUAAAUGUUAUAUAUUAUUGUUGAUGUUGUCAUUGUUGUUAUUCUCCUUUCUAUUGCUAUCAUUAUAUUUACUAGUCACAACAAUGGAAUGAAGAAGGAUGAAAUAUGAGACUUUAUUUAUUUAUUUACUUUCUGAGUCAAGAAGGUCAAUAAUUGCAAGAUACAGGGAAUAAGAAGGACAGUCCCAGGAACAUCCACUCUGAGGAAAACACUGACCGAGUUAUAAUUUACUGAGCUGACCUUCUAAAGCAGAAGAAAGAAAAUAGGAAAAGAUCAUAUUGAAAAUGUUGGACUUUAUCUAAGCCCUUGGAAAGCAAGAAUAAUUAGGAAAUCCCCACCCCACCUUUGUGUUCCAGGCAAUGGCUAGCAGCUAAAGACCCCAGUGCCCUCACAUACUAAGAGGUAAGACUCAUCCUCAUCCUUCCUCAUGACUUCCAUAAGGCUCUGAUGAGUCCCUGCCCCCAUAAAACCCUGGCUCCCUUCCCUCUUACUGCAAUAAACUGAAUACUAUUUUUGCUUAAUUGUCUAGUUUCUUUUGUCUUUCUCAUGUGUUACAAAGUUCUCCAGACCAGCUCGCCCUUUGGAAGCAUGGGCUGGGAGCAGUGCCCAGAGCAAUCCUGGACAGUUAUGGGGAUGGCAGGUAGAAGGAAAAACGGGAAGGUUUUAUUCAUAUUUGGUGUGAGCCUGUUCAUUAUACUACCCCUCAUUUCACAAAAUAUAUGCAUUCCAGAAAUGUGUUUUUCCAGUGCCUUAGGGACUGCUAUUAGAAAACCGGAGAUCCCUGGGUAUCAUAAAAUCUUGAGAUGUAAUAAAAUCAGACACUUAAGAAAGCAGUAGUACCACUUUUUACACUCACAUAUUUAAGGGAAAUAACUCUGCUUUUAUAAAAACACUAACAGUAAUACUCUCAACAUUUAUAAUCUUAUGAUAACCCACCAAACAAGAACACAAUGAAAAUACUGAAAGUGAAUCCUGCAGGUAGAUUUCAAGACUCCAAUGGUCUGCCUUCACUUUGGAUCUUUCCUCAAUGUGGGUCAUAAAGUUAGGAAUUGGGCAUCCUUUGUCUGCUCAGUUUAGUUAUUAUGUCAGUGGGGUGCAGAGUCCCUACAUUUUAUCAUGUUUCCUUUGUAUUUUAUGCCACUGGGCUAACAGUUGAGAAUUACCACUUUUAGUAUCUAGAAUAACUUACAAAUGUAGAUGCUUUUCAAUAGUAUUUUAUGAAGUGGAAGGAAUUGUUUUGUUUAUUAUCAAUCUCUUUAUAAUUGUUUGCGGGUUUUGAAGAUUUCUGGAAACACUUUAAAUGAAAUUUUUAGUCUAGCUCAGAUUUUAUAAAUUGAUACAAUGAAAACAAGGUGGCUUGCAUUGGGGUGACUUACUUUUUCUUAAAACAAGUCAAUUGAUUCACGUUAGUCUUAACAGAGCCUGAAUGGGAAGCAAGGCCAGAAGUAGUCAAUACGCUGCUUUUAAGCCAACAUUGUUGAGCACUUAAUUCUGUGUCAGGCACUGUUCAAAUGCAUUCAUAUGUGUUACUAGAUUUAAUUUCCACAACAAUCUUUGUAAGAUAGCUACUCUUGAUUAUCCCCAUUGUACUAAAAAGGAAAAUGGUCACAGCAAGGUCAACCACAUUGCUCAAGGAAGCUUAGUUAGUAAACAGCCGUGCUGGUAAUGCUCUCUAGUCCCUUCCAAACUGUUUGCUUUCUACAGUUGUUGCAGGGCUAUAAUCCUGUUACUUCUCUUUGCCUCUGUCCUGGGUUCAGGCUCCAUUUUCUCUAGUCCAUCUCCUUCUCUUUUUCUGUUUAUUUAAUCAUCUUGGUGGAAAACAUCCUCCAGCAACUUUUUAAGAUAUAUGACAUGUAAAUUAUUUCGUGACUCUUAUGUCUAUCAAGCAAACGUGAGGGUAAAAAAAAAAAAAUUCAACUUUGUUGAGUAGAGAGCUCUAGAUUAGAAAUCAUUUUCCUCCAGAAUUUUAUUUUGUUUUGUUUUGCUUUUUAGGGCUGCACCUGUGGCACAUGGAAGUUUCCAGGCUAGGGGUCAAAUCAGAGCUAUAGCUGCCGGCCACAGCCACAGCCAUGCCAGAUCCAAGCUGUGUCUGUGACUUACACCACAGCUCAUGGCAACGCCAGAUUCCCAACCCACUGAGCUUAGGGGCCAGGGAUCGAACCCCCGUCCUCAUGGACGCUAUUCAGGUUCAUUACUGCUGAACCAUGAUGGGAACUCCUUUACUCCAGAAUUUUGAAGAUAUUUCCCAUUGAAUUCUAAAUCCCAAUUUUGCUAUUUAUAAGUUCAAAAUCAUUUUGAUAUCUUAUCCUUUGAACAUGACUUGCUUUUCUGUUCUUUUUCCUACUUGGAUAUUUACUGGUUCUUCUCUGUCCCAAUGUUCUGAAAGUUCAAAGUGAAGUGUCUUGGGGUGGGUCUACUUUCUUCCAUGGUGCUUUCAACCCUUUCAAUCUGGAAACUCAUAUCUUACAGCUCAGGAAAUUUUUAUUGAACUAUUUUUUUGGUCACACCCACGGCAUGUAGAAGUUCCCAGCCCAGAGACUGAACCCAAGUCACAACAGUGACAAUGCUGAAUCCUUAACUGACAGGCCCCCAGGCAACUCUUAUUGAACCAUUUAAUUGAUGAUUUCCUCCCUUCCUUUUUCUCUGCUUUAUUUUUCUGUAAUUACUACUAUUGCAACAGUAGAUCUCCUAGACUAGGCCUGUAAUGCAAUCUUUUUGUUCCUCCUACUUUCCAUCUUUUUGUCUUUUGCCUACACUUCCUGCGAGAUUUUCUCAGCUCUUAAUGUUAAUACAUCAGUUGAGUUUUUCAUUUCUAUAAGCAUGAUUUAAAUUUCCUAGACCUCUGGUAUAUGGGUGCAUUACCUACUCUGGUCUAAGAAUAUUAAUACUACUUAAAAGUUUUCUCCUUUUCAAAUCCUGUCUCUUUUCUCCAAAUUGCCUUACUUAUUUAUUUUGGUUUCUCUCUUUGGUGUUAGAGGCAUUCCUUAGGUAUCUGGUAUUCUUCAUAUGCCAUUCAUAUUCAUAUGUCAUUUAUGAAGAAUACAAUGUAGUGAGUUCCUAGAAGACUCUCUCUAAGAAAGACCUAUCAGAAGUCCAACUACCAUGAAGCUGCCAUGCUGGAGUCCAGGUUUAGGUAUUCUGGCCAAAAAUUCUAGCUGAGCCCAUCCAGUCAUCCUGUCAAGGUGAGAGAUGAGUGAGUGAAGCCUACCUGGGUUAUCCACACCAGCUCAAAUGGGGGCUUCAUAGCAUGGAGCAACCUUAGUCAAUACCACAUGAAACAGAAGAAUCCCCUAGUCAAGCCCUGGCCAAAUUCUUGGAUCCCAAGAUAUGAUAAAGUGGUUGUUGUUAACCACUAAGAAUUGGAUCAUUUUUAUACAACAAAAGAUGACUAAAACAUUAGAUUUAUACGGACUAAUAAGGCAAGGUAAUGUCUAAAAUACUGUCGAGUUAAAAUGAAUGCAGCUCAUAUAAUGACUUAAAAAAUGGUGAUUGGAAAUUCUGAGUUGUUGGGUAGGAAUCCUUGACUGGAAGACUUAUGGAAGGGUGGUUUGACUGUGCUGUUCCUCCAAGAACGAGCUUUUCCCUCAUGAUAUAAUAUUCAUACAUACAUAUAUACAUGUAUAUAUUAUUUUUUAAAAUAAACUUUAUGUUUAAAGCAGUUUUAUAUUUACAGAAAGAUCUAAAGUCAGUACAGACUUCCCAUAAACUCCACAUCAAUAUCCCUCUAUUAUUAACAUAUUAGUAUGCUACAAUUGUCACAUGAAUGGGCUACUGUUGACACAUUAUUACUAUUAACCAAAGUACACACAUUAUUCAUAUUUUCUUCAUUUUGCGUAAUAUCCUUUUUCUCUUCCAGAACCCAGGCAGGAUACCAUAUUAGUUGUCAUAUCUCUUUAUGCCCCUUUCGGGUGUGUCACUAUUCCAGACUUUCCUUGUUUUUUAUGUCUUUGAUAUUUUGUAGACUGUCCCUCUAUUGAAAUGUCUCUGAUGUUUUACUCCUACUUUCUAUCUGAUUUAUCCAUGGGGAUAAAGUGCCAUUUUUAUAAAUACAUAUUAAGAAGGGUACACACUGUCAACAUGGCUUGUCAUUGUUGAUACUGACUGACCUUGAUCACCUGGCUGAGGCAGUGUUUGUCAGGCUUCUCCACUGUACAGUUACUCUCUUUCUUUUCCCUUUCCAUAACGCUCCCUUUGGAAGGAAGUCACUGUAAGUAACCCACAUGUAAGGAGUGGGAUGUUAUGCUCCACCUUCUGGAAGUUGCUGUGGAGAUUUGUCUUUUCCCACAUUUAUUUAUUUAUCCAAUCACUUAUUUAUGUCAGUAUAGAUUCUGAGAUAUUUAUCCCCCCCCUUCUUAGAUCUUUUCUUUUGAAUUAUAGUCCCCAGGAAAGAGUUGCAUAGGACUCUGCAUAAAGGAUAAAAUCUGGCUGCGAAUAUACUGUGGUCUUAGUAGAAAAUUAGGGCCAAUGUUGGGGUUUUGCCAUUUAAUAUGCAAAUAUUAUGUACCUGACCCUCAACUGUAUUUGAUAUCUCCUAGUACAAAGACCCUACUUCAAUUUCUCCAGAGAAUGAAACUAAAUUAUUUUGCCUAGUUUAGUCAAGGAAAGUCAGCCAGGGGCAUAGAAAGAGGAAGGGAUCUAGGGAUUUAACUUGAUUUCAACACCAUUCAAGUAAGUUUCUUAUUUUAGUUGCUCCUCCACCUCAACCUUGAUCUUUGCCCUACUUUCAGUGGUAUCUGGUGCUGCCAAGUCCUGAGCAAUUGUGGGCAGAAUUGGUUUGGUUUUCAGCUUUCCUCAUCACUGGCUUAGGCUUCAGUGUUUUCAUGUCUGCUAAAUCAGUUUCACUCAUCCAUCUGCCUUACAACUUCCAAAACUGCUCUUGCUGUGCUCUCCUGUCUUGUUCUCCCCAUCUCCUUUUGUAUAUUUGUCUUUAGAGAAAAAAAAUCCCUUUACACGUUUAGUCGAGUUUAGGGGAGAGUGAAAUUGAAGGUGUGUUCAAUCCCCACCUUCCAUAGAUUUACUCAGGAUUACAGAGUUAGCUGUGUGAGAAAAGAGGUUAUGUUUUAUUCAUCUUUGUGUCCUCAUCACCCCCCUCCCACAUGCUUGAUAAAGACUAGGAGGUAAAUACUACUUGAUUUCAUAAAUGGAAAGAGGAAGCAGAGUCAGGAUUCACACACAAAUCUAAAUCCAAGUUAACUUUUAUCUUUCACAUAAAUUUCUGCCCCAUGUCAGUUAUAAAGUUUGUAUUUUCAACAUUUAAAAUGGAAUUUUUCAUCCAUAAGAUCCUGUAGGGCUUUUCAAAUGUUUAUGUGCAUAUAAAUAUCCUGGGGAUUUCUUAAAGUGCAGAUUCUGAUUUAGUAAGUCUGGAUGGGCUGUCUCUUUGCUGGUCCAAGAUCCAAAAACUGGUAUAGCAAGAAUGUUUGGUAAUAGAUUUAUAGCACUAUAUAUUCUAGCAUUAUAAAAUGCGAUUUCAUAUUAUAUUUCUAUUGUAAAGGUACUAUUUGCAUAACAACUGUCAAGUUAGGACUUGGAGAGGAACAAGUUGAGUUGUCCUGGUGAAAGGAAGGACCAGGAGCACAAGUCAAACUAUUCCAGUAGAAAGGAGACCCAUCAAAUAUUCUUAAGAUUGUUAACAGUGGAGAAAUGGUUGGGACUGGGAACUAUUACAGACUACAUACAUGCAUAUAUUCACUUAUAUCUGUACACCAUAUCUUAUACCUUCCUUAAACCAAAAGGAUUUAAAAUGGCUUAACUAUGUAUGCUAGUAAUAUUUAUUAAGGGAGGCAACAAAAUCAAGAUAAAAAGAAAAUGAAGAUAAGAAAGAUAAAAUAAAACAAAUGUUAAAGUUAGUACACAAAAUAUGUCAUAGCUUCUGCACACUAAUGACAGGGGUAUCAUAAAUAUGUCUAUGGACAGUCAGUACAAAAAUGGAUUGAUACACAAUCAUUUACAAAACACUAUGGUUAAAAAGACAAUUUCUUCAAUUUACUUUCACAAAGAGGAGCCCAUAUAAUGUUCCAUACAGUAUUAUCAACACAUUCUGAGAGUAUUCAUCUUAUAUGGCAACCCAGAUAAUAUACAUUUGUUCAGGGAUUAAUUUUGGUCUGAUGAUGGAGAGAUAAAAAUGCAUAACCUUUCUUGAGAAGUUUGCCAGUUUUACAGACAAACUAAAUUUUCAAAUAAGAUGUAUACAACAGUACAAGGUUUGCUGGCAGCCCAAAUGAGAAAGAAAUUAUCUCAGCCAGGGGGAUAAUGGGGGGUUUGGACCAGUUUAUGAACUAAGAAAUAAAAUUGUGCCUGAAUAAAUAUAUAUUACACAUUGCCAAAAAUCUUUACAAAAAAACAAGAUCUUACUCUAAGUGGGCUCUGCACUGUGGUCAGUAGAAGUAAAAGCAAAGAAACAAAAGAAAAGAAAGAAAAUAUGUGUAAUUAGAGAAUUCUGGCAACAAAUGUGUGAAAAACCUUUCUCCAGGAGACUGAGGUUUAAAGAACCCAGUAAUUCUUUAUUUGCAGCAGAAGUCUUCUGGAACCCCAUUGCAAGGGCUAUCCCAAAAGCAAGGUUCCUGGGAGGCUGACUGCAGCUUCUGGGGCAUUCCAACCAGUUUUGGUUCCCAGACUCCUUUGAAAACAUGACUAAGACUAUUUAACCUCUACUUAGAAAAUCUCCAAAAGUACACACAAAGUUUUAAUUUGGGAUCAGGGGUUAUAAGAACAGCACAGACCUUUUGAAGGUUUCCUUAGAUGCCCCAAAUGAAAAACAAACUAAAUUUGAUAGAUGCAUUAGGCCAUUAUUAUAACUUGAGGCUGGGAACCAUUUAGAUAUUCCUGGAAACUUCCUUUAUUUUAAUACUGUGCUAAUCAAAGUGACCUUCUGAAUACAGAAUAUCAACAAUUUAAGGUGGAUAACAGACUCUACAGAGCCUAUUACGUACGGGAACCUGAGGUUAAGAACACUCAGGCUAAGGGCAGUGUGAUGGCCGAGAGUUGCAAAGGUCACAACAUUUCAGUUUUUUUUUUUUUUUUUUUAACCCCAAUCAUGUUUCACUCAUGUGGACUUUUCUCAUUCCUUGAACUCAAUGGCAUUUCUGCAGAUCCAGUAAUAGUUGCUUACUGUAAGACCUAAAGCUAAAAACUGAAAUAUUGUAUUCUUGCCUGGCAUUGAGACCUCAGUGAAUAAAAGAAAAAUACUUUAUCAACGUACAAAUACUGAGCCCAGAAAUGAGUUUGCAACUCUUUGGACCUUCCCAGGAAACACAAACAGAAGUCAUGAAAAUCUGUUCAUUCAGUCACUUUAAUCUACAUAAUUUUGACUUUAAACUUUCUUAAAGGUUUUCAAAAAUGAAUCACAAACUCUUCCCACAAUUAGAAUAAUAACUGACAAUGUUUGAUUGACACAGUAUAUUUCAUUCUCUACCAAGCUCUGCAGAACCUAAGAAUGGUAGCUCACAUUGAGUGAGAUGCUAGGUGGUGUCAAGCAUCCCUUUGUACAACAUAUGAGUAUUAUCUCAUUGAAACUUUCCUCCUGCAACAUGAAGAAGCAGGUACUAUUAUGAUGCUCAUUUUAGAGAACACACAACUAACAGGUUAAACAAUCUGCUUAAGUUCAUACAGCUAAUAAACGGCAGAGCCUGGUCAAAACUCAGGCAAGCUGAUACCAUAGCCUGCACUGUUCAUUAUUUCAUUAUAUUCUCUCUCAGGGCCCUCACUGUGCAAAAAUCAAAAUCAAGGUAUCAAAACAGCAGAUAUGAGAUAAAUGCGGAAAUAAUGGGGGAAUCCUAUUAAAUAAUAUUACUUGAACUCACUGAAAUUAUAUGAUGUCAUUAAAAUGUAGAUUACAGAAAUAAAUUUAGUGAAUAAAUAUAUUCACAGUAUACUGCUAAAUGAAUAAAGCCAAUAUA